AGAACUUCCACUUGAAUUUCACGCAUACCUUCUGUUGUGCCUCAGGUUGUCCAGACUCUCAGCAGCAUCAAGAAUAGCCGGAAAGACAAAAGUUACGAAUCAUCUUGGAAGUGAAAAAUGAGAACAAAAGAGAAAAACCACGAGAGAAAAAAAAUCAGAAAAAAAGAAGUGAACCUAACUUUGCAAGGACUUUGGAAAAGAAAAAGACAAGCGAGAAGAAGAAAAACAAAGGAGCUGGAUAAUCUCAAAUGGAAAAUCAGUAACUAACUUGCUGAAUUGACUAUAAUAUUUUCCUUUUUCUUCCCACGAAGGAAGGCCUCAUUUUGUAGAAAACUCUAUGUUUAAGGUCUCUUCUUCCACUGAAGCUUUGACAAAGUAAUCCAAGGCCUAAGAAGCACAGUUGAGUCACAACAUCUAGUCUCAGAUCUUCCAUCAGCUAAUCCCUUGAUGUUUUCUUAUCUAUGGAGUAAGCAUAAGGGUAGCUUCUUUCCACUCCCCUUUUCUGAGAUUGAAGGAGGAAUUUAUUAACGUCCAUAAAUACCUUGCUCUGGGGCUUUAAGGAAAGUACAAAGUAUUUCUUUAGCCCGAAGACAGAUCAGCCUUUUACUAUUUCUGAGACUUUAGUAACAACCACCCAAUCCCCAGGGCAAGAUCUAGAGGAUAUAGGCAUAUUUAGGGUAAAGGAAAAUAAUUAAAUAUAAAUAUAUAAAUAUUCAAAGAGUAAUAAAAUAAUAAAAGAGUUUUCAAGUUAAUGCUUAGUUCCUGAUGGUUCCCCCUCACUCUCCACCAUUCCUUUAAGUUAUUCAGUCAUCAACCUGAAUUUAAGGGCUUAUUAUGAACCAAGUUCUGUACUAAGCUUUGGGGACAUAAAGAAAGGCAGAAUCAUUUCCCUUCUCAAGGAACUUAUCUAUUUUUCAUGAUCUAGCUAUAAUUAUGAAGGAGAAGAAAGAAUUAAUUUCUCAAGUAACUUUUAACAUUACUAUUGUACUGUUAAUCCAUAUUUAUGUAGUUUUAUAAUUUACAAGACACUUUCCUCACAAUGCUCCAGUUCGAUGUACUAAUGCAAGUAACCUAAACAGAAGAUAGAAAUCAUCAGAUGAUUUACUUAAAUUAUGAGAGAAUCUCUUGUUUAUAAGUUUCAGCUUUGGGACAUUGGUCAUUUAUCUCUCUAAGAGGAUAUUUUCCACAUGGCAAUAACACCUCAAAGUUGAAAGGAUAUGGAAUUUUAUUGGUAUAGGUAACCUCAGGCAUGUGUUGGAGUUGUCCCCUGAAGCUACUAUUGUCAGAUUGUUAAAUUUUCUGUGUGUAUAACACCUCGUAAAUCAGUAAACCAUAUGACAGGGCUUGAUUUGGGUUUUCAGUUUUUUGUUUUUUGUUUUAAUUGUCUAAACUAAAGAAGGUGGUCGUAAAACUGUUAAAUAGCAGUUAGUUAAACAGCAGAUUGUAUCAU